rnacentral:rRNA from 1 species
CAGUAGCCGCGGUAAUACGUAGGUGGCAAGCGUUGUCCGGAAUUAUUGGGCGUAAAGUGCUCGCAGGCGGUUUCUUAAGUCUGAUGUGAAAGCCCCCGGCUCAACCGGGGAGGGUCAUUGGAAACUGGGAAACUUGAGUGCAGAAGAGGAGAGUGGAAUUCCACGUGUAGCGGUGAAAUGCGUAGAGAUGUGGAGGAACACCAGUGGCGAAGGCGACUCUCUGGUCUGUAACUGACGCUGAGGAGCGAAAGCGUGGGGAGCGAACAGGAUUAGAUACCCCCGUAGUCCCUGUCUCUUAUAC